rnacentral:rRNA from 1 species
UACGUAGGGUGCAAGCGUUGUCCGGAAUUAUUGGGCGUAAAGAGCUCGUAGGCGGCUUGUCGCGUCGGCUGUGAAAACCUGGGGCUCAACCCAGAGCCUGCAUCCAAAACUGGCGGGCUAGAGUUCUGGAGGGGGUAGCGGAAUUCCUGGUGUAGCGGUGAAAUGCGUAGAUAUCAGGAGGAACACCGGUGGCGAAGGCGGCUACCUGGACAGAAACUGACGCUGAGGCGCGAAAGCUAGGGGAGCAAACAGG